rnacentral:rRNA from 1 species
GGCCAGACUCCUACGGGAGGCAGCAGUGAGGAAUAUUGGUCAAUGGGCGAGAGCCUGAACCAGCCAAGUCGCGUGAGGGAAGACGGUCCUAUGGAUUGUAAACCUCUUUUGCCGGGGAGCAAAAAGCGGUACGUGUACCGCAUCGAGAGUACCCGGAGAAAAAGCAUCGGCUAACUCCGUGCCAGCAGCCGCGGUAAUACGGAGGAUGCGAGCGUUAUCCGGAUUUAUUGGGUUUAAAGGGUGCGCAGGCGGCGAGUUAAGUCAGCGGUAAAAUUUCGGGGCUCAACCCCGACAAGACGUUGAAACUGGCUUGCUAGAGUGGGCGAGAAGUAUGCGGAAUGCGUGGUGUAGCGGUGAAAUGCAUAGAUAUCACGCAGAACUCCGAUUGCGAAGGCAGCAUACCGGCGCCCAACUGACGCUGAAGCACGAAGGCGUGGGUAUCGAACAGGAUUAGAUACCCGGGUAA